UUGGAGGGCAAGUCUGGUGCCAGCAGCCGCGGUAAUUCCAGCUCCAAUAGCGUAUAUUAAAGUUGUUGCAGUUAAAAAGCCCGUAGUUGAAUUUCGGGAUCAAAUAAUCGGUCGUGCCUCCGGUACGUACUGGUUUUAUUGGUUCCUCCCUUCUGACGAACCAUGAUGUCAUUAAUUUGAUGUGGUGGAGAAUCAGGACUGUUACCUUGAAAAAAUUAGAGUGUUUAAAGCAGGCUAACGCUUGAAUACAUUAGCAUGGAAUAAUGAAAUAGGACGUUCGACCCUAUUUUGUUGGUUUCUAGGAUCGACGUAAUGAUUAAUAGGGAUAGUUGGGGGCAUUAGUAUUCAAUUGUCAGAGGUGAAAUUCUUGGAUUUAUUGAAGACUAACUACUGCGAAAGCAUUUGCCAAGGAUGUUUUCAUUAAUCAAGAACGAAAGUUAGGGGAUCGAAGACGAUCAGAUACCGUCGUAGUCUUAACCAUAAACUAUGCCGACUAGGGAUCGGAUGAUGUUAAUUUUUUAAUGACUCAUUCGGCGCCUUACGGGAAAC
rnacentral:rRNA from 1 species